rnacentral:rRNA from 1 species
UACGAAGGGGGCUAGCGUUGUUCGGAAUUACUGGGCGUAAAGCGCGCGCAGGCGGUCCUUCAAGUCAGAGGUGAAAGCCCCAGAGCUCAACUCUGGAAUGGCCUUUGAGACUAGAGGACUUGGGUACGGGAGAGGUGAGUGGAAUUCCGAGUGUAGAGGUGAAAUUCGUAGAUAUUCGGAAGAACACCAGUGGCGAAGGCGGCUCACUGGCCCGUUACCGACGCUCAGGCGCGACAGCGUGGGGGAGCAAACAGG